AUUGCUUCUCGGCCUUUUGGCUAAGAUCAAGUGUAGUAUCUGAAUGGCAAGGAACCCAU
ensembl:snRNA LOC120103362 U2 spliceosomal RNA